GACGAACGCUGGCGGCGUGCUUAACACAUGCAAGUCGAACGGUGAAGGGAUCAGCUUGCUGGUUCUGGAUGAGUGGCGAACGGGUGAGUAACACGUGAGUAACCUGCCCCCUUCUUCUGGAUAACCGCAUGAAAGUGUGGCUAAUACGGGAUAUUCUGGGUCUGUCGCAUGAUGGGACUGGGAAAGAUAUUGUUUCGGUGGGGGGUGGGCUCGCGGCCUAUCAGCUUGGUGGUGGGGUGAUGGCCUACCAAGGCGGUGACGGGUAGCGGGCCGGAGAGGGUGGACGGUCACACUGGGACUGAGACACGGCCCAGACUCCUGCGGGAGGCAGCAGUGGGGAAUAUUGCACAAUGGGCGCAAGCCUGAUGCAGCGACGCCGCGUGAGGGAUGGAGGCCUUCGGGUUGUAAACCUCUUUCGCCAGUGAAGCAGGCCUGCUCCUUGUGGGUGGGUUGACGGUAGCUGGAGAAGAAGCGCCGGCUAACUACGUG
rnacentral:rRNA from 1 species